AUGAACGCUAGCUACAGGCUUAACACAUGCAAGUCGAGGGGCAGCAUGGUCUUAGCUUGCUAAGGCCGAUGGCGACCGGCGCACGGGUGAGUAACACGUAUCCAACCUGCCGUCUACUCUUGGACAGCCUUCUGAAAGGAAGAUUAAUACAAGAUGGCAUCAUGAGUCCGCAUGUUCACAUGAUUAAAGGUAUUCCGGUAGACGAUGGGGAUGCGUUCCAUUAGAUAGUAGGCGGGGUAACGGCCCACCUAGUCUUCGAUGGAUAGGGGUUCUGAGAGGAAGGUCCCCCACAUUGGAACUGAGACACGGUCCAAACUCCUACGGGAGGCAGCAGUGAGGAAUAUUGGUCAAUGGGCGAGAGCCUGAACCAGCCAAGUAGCGUGAAGGAUGACUGCCCUAUGGGUUGUAAACUUCUUUUAUAAAGGAAUAAAGUCGGGUAUGCAUACCCGUUUGCAUGUACUUUAUGAAUAAGGAUCGGCUAACUCCGUGCCAGCAGCCGCGGUAAUACGGAGGAUCCGAGCGUUAUCCGGAUUUAUUGGGUUUAAAGGGAGCGUAGAUGGAUGUUUAAGUAAGUUGUGAAAGUUUGCGGCUCAACCGUAAAAUUGCAGUUGAUACUGGAUAUCUUGAGUGCAGUUGAGGCAGGCGGAAUUCGUGGUGUAGCGGUGAAAUGCUUAGAUAUCACGAAGAACUCCGAUUGCGAAGGCAGCCUGCUAAGCUGCAACUGACAUUGAGGCUCGAAAGUGUGGGUAUCAAACAGGAUUAGAUACCCUGGUAGUCCACACGGUAAACGAUGAAUACUCGCUGUUUGCGAUAUACAGCAAGCGGCCAAGCGAAAGCGUUAAGUAUUCCACCUGGGGAGUACGCCGGCAACGGUGAAACUCAAAGGAAUUGACGGGGGCCCGCACAAGCGGAGGAACAUGUGGUUUAAUUCGAUGAUACGCGAGGAACCUUACCCGGGCUUAAAUUGCAGAUGAAUUACGGUGAAAGCCGUAAGCCGCAAGGCAUCUGUGAAGGUGCUGCAUGGUUGUCGUCAGCUCGUGCCGUGAGGUGUCGGCUUAAGUGCCAUAACGAGCGCAACCCUUGUUGUCAGUUACUAACAGGUCAUGCUGAGGACUCUGACAAGACUGCCAUCGUAAGAUGUGAGGAAGGUGGGGAUGACGUCAAAUCAGCACGGCCCUUACGUCCGGGGCUACACACGUGUUACAAUGGGGGGUACAGAGGGCCGCUACCACGCGAGUGGAUGCCAAUCCCAAAAACCUCUCUCAGUUCGGACUGGAGUCUGCAACCCGACUCCACGAAGCUGGAUUCGCUAGUAAUCGCGCAUCAGCCACGGCGCGGUGAAUACGUUCCCGGGCCUUGUACACACCGCCCGUCAAGCCAUGGGAGCCGGGGGUACCUGAAGUGCGUAACCGCGAGGAGCGCCCUAGGGUAAAACUGGUGACUGGGGCU
rnacentral:rRNA from 1 species